AACGAACGCUGGCGGCAGGCUUAACACAUGCAAGUCGAGCGCCCCGCAAGGGGAGCGGCAGACGGGUGAGUAACGCGUGGGAAUCUACCCAUCUCUACGGAAUAACGCAUGGAAACGUGUGCUAAUACCGUAUACGUCCUUCGGGAGAAAGAUUUAUCGGGGAUGGAUGAGCCCGCGUUGGAUUAGCUAGUUGGGGGGGUAAAGGCCUACCAAGGCGACGGUCCAUAGCUGGUCUGAGAGGAUGAUCAGCCACACUGGGACUGAGACACGGCCCAGACCCCUACGGGAGGCAGCAGUGGGGAAUAUUGGACAAUGGGCGCAAGCCUGAUCCAGCCAUGCCGCGUGAGUGAUGAAGGCCCUAGGGUUGUAAAGCUCUUUCACCGGUGAAGAUAAUGACGGUAACCGGAGAAGAAGCCCCGGCUAACUUCGUGCCAGCCGCCGCGGUAAAAC
rnacentral:rRNA from 1 species